rnacentral:rRNA from 1 species
GCAGUCGAACGAAGCACUCUAUUUGAUUUUCUUCGGAAAUGAAGAUUUUCUGUCAGAGUGGCGGACGGGUGAGUAACGCGUGGGUAACCUGCCUCAUACAGGGGGAUAACAGUUGGAAACGACUGCUAAUACCGCAUAAGCGCACAGGAUCGCAUGAUCCGGUGCGAAAAACUCCGGUGGUAUGGGAUGGACCCGCGUCUGAUUAGCCAGUUGGCAGGGUAACGGCCUACCAAAGCGACGAUCAGUAGCCGACCUGAGAGGGUGACCGGCCACAUUGGGACUGAGACACGGCCCAAACUCCUACGGGAGGCAGCAGUGGGGAAUAUUGCACAAUGGGGGAAACCCUGAUGCAGCGACGCCGCGUGAGCGAAGAAGUAUUUCGGUAUGUAAAGCUCUAUCAGCAGGGAAGAAGAAUGACGGUACCUGACUAAGAAGCACCGGCUAAAUACGUGCCGGCAGCCGCGGUAAUACGUAUGGUGCAAGCGUUAUCCGGAUUUACUGGGUGUAAAGGGAGCGCAGGCGGUGCGGCAAGUCUGAUGUGAAAGCCCGGGGCUCAACCCCGGUACUGCAUUGGAAACUGUCGUACUAGAGUGUCGGAGGGGUAAGUGGAAUUCCUAGUGUAGCGGUGAAAUGCGUAGAUAUUAGGAGGAACACCAGUGGCGAAGGCGGCUUACUGGACGAUAACUGACGCUGAGGCUCGAAAGCGUGGGGAGCAAACAGGAUUAGAUACCCUGGUAGUCCACGCCGUANACGAUGAAUACUAGGUGUCGGGGANCAUUGCUCUUCGGUGCCGCAGCAAACGCAAUAAGUAUUCCACCUGGGGAGUACGUUCGCAAGAAUGAAACUCAAAGGAAUUGACGGGGACC